rnacentral:rRNA from 1 species
UACGUAGGUGGCAAGCGUUAUCCGGAAUUAUUGGGCGUAAAGCGCGCGUAGGCGGUUGAUUAAGUCUGAUGUGAAAGCCCACGGCUUAACCGGGGAGGGGCAUUGGAAACUGGAAGACUUGAGUGCAGAAGAGGAAAGUGGAAUUCCAUGUGUAGCGGUGAAAUGCGUAGAGAUAUGGAGGAACACCAGUGGCGAAGGCGACUUUCUGGUCUGUAACUGACGCUGAUGUGCGAAAGCGUGGGGAGCAAACAGG